rnacentral:rRNA from 1 species
UCCUACGGGAGGCAGCAGUGGGGAAUCUUGCACAAUGGAGGAAACCCUGAUGCAGCCAUGCCGCGUGAGUGAAGAAGGCCCUUGGGUUGUAAAGCUCUUUCAUCGGGGAAGAAAACGACUGUACCCAAACCCGAAAGUCCAGAUAUCUUCCUGCCAACAACCACGGGCUUACUCCGGGACCUCACGUACUUCGGAAUUACUGGGCUUAAAGUUUUCCUAAGUGGUUGAAAAUAUUGGUGGUGAAAUCGGCUAGCUUAACUCGUUGUCUGCCAUCCAGGCUUUUCCUCUAAACUAUGACAGAAGAUGUCAAACUUUAUUGUGUGAAAGUAAAGUUCAAAUAUCUGUGUAACAAUACCAUUUGCAAAGGUCGCUUUGAGGAUCAUUGCUGACAGUGGCCAUCUAGACCGUGGGUAACACUGAGGAUUAAAUACCCUCGUAGUCCAUGCGAUUAAAUAUGUGUGUUAUCCGUUGGAAAUUUAUUUUCAAUGUCCCAUCGAGUGCGAUAAACACUUUGUCUGGGGAGUACGGCCGCAAGGUUACCGCUCGGAUAAUUUGGCCGC